GUUGAUCCUGCGUGAGACUUCCGCUAGAGGGGGUAGAUUUAGCCAUGAAAGUGUGUUGGGUUCGUCCCAACCGCAGAAUGCUGAGUAACACGUCGUUAACCUUCCUUAUGGUCUCCAAUAAUCUCGGGAAACUGAGUGUAAAAGGGAUAGAUAUUUCAAGCUGGAAUGCUGGAAUAUUGAAUCAUAAGAUGGGACGGCGGCCGAUUAGGUAGUUGGUGAGGUAAUGGCUCACCAAGCCAACGAUCGGUAGGGGUCGUGAGAGCGAUGACCUCCAGAGGGACACUGAGAUAAGGGUCCCAGCCCUAAGGGGUGCAGCAGGCGCGAAACCUCUACAAUGCACGCAAGUGUGAUAAGGUAACCCCUCGUGCUUACCGACAAGGUAGGCUUUUGUAUAGCUUAGUGCGCUAUACGAAUAAGUGGUGGGCAAGACCGGUGCCAGCAGCCGCGGUAAUCCCGGCGCCACAAGUGGAAGUCACUUCUAUUGGGUCUAAAGUAUUCGUAGCCGUUUUUAUAAGUUUCUUGUGAAAGCCCUGCAGCUUAACUCAGGAAUUGCAAGAAAUACUGUAAAAAUUGGGACUGGGAGAGGUAUGAGGUAUUGUUUGGGUAGCGGUAAAAUGUUAUAAUCCUUACAAGACCAACUAAUGCGAAGGCAUCAUACUUGAACAGAUCCGACGGUGAGGAAUGAGAGCUGGGGGAGCAAACCGGAUUAGAUACCCGGGUAGUCCCAGCUGUAAACUCUGCAGGUUACGCUUUGCCAAAUCUACGAGAUUUGGCAGGGGGGAAGCGAAGGCAUAAACCUGCCACCUGGGAAGUACAGUCGCAAGACCGAAACUUAAAGGAAUUGCCGGGGGAGUACUACAAGGGGUGCGGCGUGCGGUUUAAUUGGAUUCUACACCGAGCAUCUUACCAGGGGCGACAGCAGGAUGAGGGUCAGUCUAAAGGGCUUACCUAACGCGCUGAGAGGUGCUGCAUGGCCGCCGUCAGCUCGUGCUGUAAGGUGUCCUCUUAAGUGAGGAAACGAGCAAGACCUAUGCCUAUAAUUGCUAACACGGUUUACGUGUGCACUUUAUAGGGACUGCCUUGGAAACAAGGAGGAAGGUGUAGGCUACGGUAGGUCUGUAUAGCCCGAAUCUCCUGGGCUACACGCGCGCAACAAUGGAUAGGACAAUGAGUUGCAACUCUGAAAAGGGAAGCUAAUCUCGAAACCUAUUCUUAGUUUAAAUUGGGGCUUGUAACUCAGCCCCAUGACACCGGAAUCCCUAGUAACCGGACGUUAUCAGCGUCCGGUGAAUAUGUCCAUUCUCCUUGGACACACUGCCCGUCAAGCCAAUCAAGUGAGGUCAAGACGAGUUGCCUUUUUUUGAAGGCACCAAGUCUGGGCUUCAUAAGAGGGGCUAAGUCGGCACAAGGUA
rnacentral:rRNA from 1 species